rnacentral:lncRNA from 1 species
GAUCGACCUUUGUACUCCACGGUGAGUCUUGCAGCUAAGAGACGCAAAUUAAAUUAUGAGUCAAAGCCCAUAUUUUGAAAAACAACAUUGCAUUAGUGUAUAUAGGCAGCACCUUGGGAACAUUUAUAGAAUAUGGAUUCUUGGGUCCCUCUCCAGGGAUUCUAAUUCAGUCAUUCCUGGGCCCAAGAAUCUACGUUUUAUGUUAACCUGACCUAAAUGUGACCAUUAUGAGGGCAGGAAACGGUUUUGAUCCCUAACAUAUCCCAAGUGCUUUACAUGAAGAACUUGGUACAGCACAGGCUCUUGGUCAUUGGUGGUUGAAUAAAUAAAUGAAUGAAAAAGUACUGAUCUUCAAAUGAUUCCAUCCUUCAACCCCAGCGGUGCCUGCCUCCCUUUGCAUCUAUACUGUUGUCUUUGUUUUUUUAAGAUAGAUACUCAAAUAGUCUCUAGACCUUUGAAUUGCAAAAUUGCUUUGAAUCUCCAAGUUGGAAGCAGCCUUGAAAGUCUCUAAUCUAGGGAUUC